ACCGGCGGAAGGAUCAUUA
rnacentral:rRNA from 3 species